GCUGCGAUUAGCCCCGAUAAACUGACGGCGGACGGCCUGGAGCGCGGCGCACACACCAGCAAGACCGCCGCCAUUAUGCCUGCCUCCUUGACCUCCUACCUGACCGGGAUGAGGCGACCCCGAUCUCCGACGCCGUUUGAGGAGGAGAAUGAAUUAGAAGAAAGGAGAAAGGAUGGUGGCGAAGUAGGACAGCGCGCUGGGGAGGCCUUCCUGUCCCAGAUCAGUCGUUAACCGGCGGCGGGAGAAGAGUUCCCAUUGUGGUCUGCUGCUCCUGAAGAACACAGAAGGAUCAGCAAACAUCAGCUGAUUGGGCCUAGAGACUCAAACUAUACCGUGGACAAAACCGAAACCGAAAGUGAUCUCGUCCCAAGACAGAAGGAGAAUGAUAUCUUUGGUUGGACCGUGUAUGCCGACGUCGACUUAAGCGGUAUAAGUUGUCAUUUUAUAUUGUAUUCAAAACCAAUACAAUAUUUAGAUGUUGUUUACCUCAAGUUUGGAAGUGUCUCAGGCAUAAAAAUAAAUCAAAAUAAGUUUUA